UACGGGGGGGGUAAGCGUUGUUCGGAAUUACUGGGCGUAAAGGGCUCGUAGGCGGCCAACUAAGUCAUACGUGAAAUCCCUCAGCUUAACUGGGGAACUGCGUGUGAUACUGGAUGGCUUGGAUUUGGGAGAGGGAUGCGGAAUUCCAGGUGUAGCGGUGAAAUGCGCAGAUAUCGGGAGGAACACCAAUGGCGAAGGCAGCUCGCUGGGACGGUACUGACACUAAGGCGCGAAAGCGUGGGGAGCGAACAGG
rnacentral:rRNA from 1 species